rnacentral:lncRNA from 1 species
UCCCAGUGGGUACGGCCACCCAAGGGAGGAACUCGACCAAUAGGUCCAAGGAGGCAACUGCAGAUUAGUUUAAUAAACAGAUAGAUAGAUAUUUGACUAUGCAAUUAAUAAAACCAUACAUUGCCUCGCUAAUGCAAUAUGAAUAUUAUGCAACUAUGCAACUGCAUAAUCAACUAGUAGAUAUGUUAAUUCUACAUUUACUUUGCUACUUUAGCUCAUUUCAUUCAAUUGUAAGGUUUCCAUUACCUUAUGUUCACAACUCAAGUUCAACUUGCUUCUAAGGUCUCUAUUACCUCAGGUUCUUGCCUCGAUCACUAGCUUAUAAGGUUCCCAUUAACCUAAUCAAGCUAACCACCCGACUCGGCCUCGAGUCAAUCAUCCGCGGAUAGUCCGUGCACUGGCUGCACCUCAGCCUGGCUGCCGUCGCAGCCUACCGCAGAUCGCAUGCAUUAUUUAGCAUUUCUAUAAUAUGUUCAUCAUGCAUUCUAUGGUAGUCGUAGCAUAGCAAUUAACAUGCAUUCGCCUAGCAUUUAACUCUUGCAUUCAUCUACUAUUUAUAUGCAUCAAUAUGAAUUUACAUUUCUCUUAGACAUAAAGGGCGACCUAGUCGCUUCGGUAAGCACAACCCACCUUAACUUACUCUCCGAUUGCUUGUAGUCACUUGCAAUCGGCCGCCCGCGACACCCGCGAUCCGGUUUGGCUCGAACUCUCGCGCAAUCACCCAAACGAUCUCCGAUUUGCGAUCCGAAAAUUAAAGGUCUUCGGUUAUGUGCCACGGUGCUUCAAAUCCGUUUUUAUGAUUUUACGACGUCGCCUCGGCCCUUCAGGCGGAAACGAAGCCUAAACGUCCGUUUCUUUAAUAACUUUGUAACGGCUCGUCGGAUUGCCGAUCCGUCUUCGCCAACGCGUUUCGUUACCUAGCAAUUAGGUUUAUAUAUGUUCAAUUUAGAUCAAACCCUCAUAUUUUAAAAAUUUACAUUUUGGAGCCCUAGGUUACAACUAUGCAAGAAAUCUCUAAAUUGAUCCAUGAUUCAAGCAUUAAUCAUCUAGAUAGGAUGCUAGGACUCCUCUAAAUCCAUUUAUAAGGUAUUUAAACCAAGCAUUAAAGAUCUACCAUUAAAGGGCUGUCACGCCCCGGGACCGGCGGAGGCCCUCCCGGUAGCGUGCCCAGACCCGCCAUAUGUCUACACAUAUAAGGCGUCUAGAAUAAAAGCGGAAGUAAAAGCAAGUAAUAGAACAAAUAGAAAAAGUGAAAUAACUAGCAACUAAUGAUAUCAGAGCGAGAAAAGUUCUAACAUCUAUAUCAAAGUAAAGCUAGUCAAACAAAGAAACCAUAAGUAGUACAAUAACUAUCUCUAGUACAAAAAUGGUGGUCUCUAUACAUAUACGGGUACAACUCUCAACCUCUCACAAAAAGAAAACAAGAGAGGUAAACCACCUAUCGAACGAUCCCUCGGUAAACACGCUAGCCCGAGGCGAUACCCUUUCCGCGAUCCCUGGCCUCUCCCUGCGUGGAAGGCUCUGAAAAACAUCGAGAAAAAGAGGGCGUGAGAACUAUAAUUUAUAGUUCCCAGUGGGCAAUUACUGACCCCAGCUCACUGCACCACUAGGCCCCAAAAGAAAAAGGUAAAUAACGACAUAUAGUAAUAUGCAAUAAAUAGCAAACAUGAAAACUGCUGAAAGAAAGCAUGAUUGAAAUGCUAUACUACUAUGUCUCAACAUAAUACACAAGUAAACCUCACGAUGCAAUAUGUCAAUGCACAAGGGUAAACUCUAUCCAAACAACCGAGUAUACUACGAUGCAAUAAUGAAACCGGCAAGUAUAAUAAAUGUACCAAUGCUAUAUCAUAAGCGUGUCCAAGUAGUCCAACUACUAGUAGUGAUUGUUCAUAUUCCACACCGUGUCGAUUUUCAUUUCCAAUUUAAGGACCUACCCAAGGUAGUCCAGUUUGUGCCGCCUAAGUGCCGGUGGUAGCCCGACAUUCCUACACAUGGAAUGUGUCUGUCCCACUCGACCCCGUAGGCGUCUCAAUACCGCACGAGCGAACAAAAGUCGCAUAGGCCAACUCCAGAGUGCCGGCUUGUGGGGAGCGACCCUCACAAGCAUGUGCGAAUGAGCACAAAUGGCAAACAAGCAAGGUCACUGUCUCACAUACCCAAUCCUCAUGUCUCUAACAUGGUAUAGUCACUAGCAUCCCGAAGAUCUAGUUCAGAGUCAUAAUGUGAAGUCCCAACACACACUUGCUUAGUGCCUCUUUAUGACACUUAAGCUCCACAACUAAUCAUGUUCCAAUUAAGACAUUAACAUUAAUGCUCACUAUGCCCCGGGCCCCAAUGCCUCUUCAUGACAUUGGCCCAAUCUCACAUAUCAUCUAAGUUCCUAAGCCUCUCUAGGCUUUCAAAAAUCCCUAAUGUCACAUCUGGUAUAUAGUUUGAAUGCAUGAAAGCAAGGUUCGUUUUCAUAAUAGGGAUUAUAAUUUCAAGUUUCAACUAGAAUGCUAGGCCGCACAUGCAUGCUCUCUACUAUAUAGAGGUCCCAAAAUUUACUACACAUAACCUAUGCAUGCUAAGCAUUCUAAAAUUCAUAAUAAAUACAUUUAACAUGAAAAUGCAAGAAUUUCAACUUUACGAAACAUUUAACACUAAAUAUGAGCAUUUCUCAUAUUGUAUGCUAGGCCAAACCCACCGAACCGUCGCGUGCUCCUUCGAUUCGUCGAACGGAGUUGUCCACGAGCCUCAAGAUACCCUAAAGUGAUCAGCGAAGAGAUACGAGAGCAUUACGACCAACCAUGAGCUCAAACAUCAAUCUAGAAACAAAUAGGGCCAAAAUUCACCUCAAGAGAAGAAAUCUCUUCUAAAGCUCCAAAAGAGAGCUAGAACCCUUCCAAUCCAAGCUCAAGGAAGGCUCUAAACCAAUUAAUCUAGCCUCAAAAACCCUAGAUCAAAAAGCCCCAAAAUCAACCGAAAAUCUCAUUUCUAGGGUUCCAUUUACAAAAACUUUCAAAACAAGAUCUAGAGGAGGGAAAUAAGCAACAAACCUCCUUAGAAGCUCCAAUCCUAGCUCCAAAGGUGUAGAUCUCCUCCUAUGCAAGCUCCAAGUCCAAGCCCCAAGCACCAAGGAAGAAGAGAGGGUGAGGAAGAUGCUCCAAGUCCUCUAAAAGCUCUCAAUCUUCUUCUUCUUCCUUCCUCCUUCUCCUUCUCCUUCUCCUUCUUCUUUUUCUCCUCUACCAAGGGUGUGGAGAGAGUUGAGAGAAGAGAAAUGAGGAGAAGAGAGGGUAGAGGGGUCAUAUAGACCCUCUAUUGUAACAAAAUCCCAAGAGGCCCCUAAAAAAUCCAAUAUUACAUCAGCCCGAACUGGGCAGUUUUCGCCCAGAGGGACCGGUCUCUCCCAAGCAGGGACCGGUCUCUCGCUGCGAACCCGAAAAACCAUCGUUCGGGAACCGGUCUCUCCCUGCGUGGGACCGGUCUCUCACUGGCGAAGACUGCUCAGGGGGACGCUCGCCUGCGCAGGCGACCGGUUGCCUCAGGCUGCCUACUGUCAUUAGGGGACGACGUCUUUUCCUCCAGGUGACCCCGUCCCGAGAGUGAAAACUCUCAGGACCCAACCAAACGUCAAGUUUUCCGAACUUUUUAGGUCGAAGACAUUUCUACAGACCUCACCCCAGUGCUGGAAAGCUCGAAAUAUAUCCAAACACCUCGAACCUCGCAAAUUUGCAAAGGCCGUGUGUUACAUUCAAGAAGCACUUUUUGUGUUUUGGAAGCAGUUCUUACAGCUGUCCCCAAUGGGUAUUCUCUCAUCGACAGUUAGAGUCGAUCCGAAUGAAGUACAAUCACGAAUUUCCGAGAUCACUUCCUUACAAUUUUGAGAACGCUAUUAACCCUAUAUGCUAUGCAUGAAGAAUAUAAUGUGAGCACCAAUGAGAAUGAAAGAACAAUGUGAACAAUAAAACAUAGUUCGAGUGGCAUUCGACCAAUGUAAAAUAAAGGGACACUAGUAGUGUGUGUGGCAUCAAAGAGAAAUGUGACGCAAGAACAUGAUAAUGAUUAGAGACAAGUAAGAAAAUGAAAGUAGCAAUAAAGAAUGAGUAAGUUAACGAACAUAUUGCAGAGUUAGCAAAUAAAGUGUGUAAAGACACUAGAGUUAGUGUAAAAACAUGAUUGAACUAUAUAUCCUUAAGUUAAGGCUUGAUCAUUUUGCUAUGAGUUCGGUGCUUGAUGGGCGGUCACUCCCACUCGAUGCGAUACUCUCCGAAGUUUGCAUCACGGGUUGGAAUAAACCCAGGAGUCUUAGCGGGAGGCAGAUGAGGCCCGCGAUGAUGGACUUAAUGUUGGCAGUUAAUGUGGCGAAAUCGCCCGGGGUUAGCCGUCGAGAUUCAAAAGAAGCAAAGAACAAAGAUUAAAGAUAAAGAGUAAGAACAAACGAAUGCAUACAGCUGGCAUGAUUUACGUUCAGCAUAUUUCUUGCUUUAUUGUUCGACGCAUCAUUACAUGCAUGAUUAUAGUUUGGUUACUAUUUCUACUUAUCCUUUCUAUUAAUGCUGAGUUAGUCCUAAUAGAAAAUCGUGAGAAUUUUGGGGCGAACCGCACUGGAAACUUCGUUGUAGUUCUCACCCCACUAUUUCAACAAAGCCGGGACCGAGCGAGCCGGCGAGCGACCGCGGUAAAGGUAUCAUGCCUAUAGAAUGGCUACCAAGUCGGAGUUUAACAUUUGUAGUAGAUCCUUUAUUCAUCUUUUUGUAUUUGCCUGAAUUGAGAUGUAUAAGAAAAGGAAUGUUAUUUAUCCUCGAGGGAGAAUGUGAUGUAAAAUAGAAAUGAUGAAAAGUAUGUAAAGACUAUGAAUGCAAUGUAUGCUGAUCAAAGAGAAUCAUAGUACUUGUGUAUUGUUUAGUUUCCUUUCUUGAUCACUGCAUGGCUAUUGCUUAUCUCCGUGUAAGCCGUUUGUGUAUGUUUCCGCUUAGUGCUUUUCUCAUACUUCGAAAGAUGUACAGGUGAUAUGAGCGUUGGAGGAAUAAGGGGCAAAACCUGUCCUUUCGCGGCGUGUUGACGUGCUCGCGCCCGGCCAACUUGGUAUCUGGUCCGACGGGUAUGACAGAUAUUUGGUAAUCAGAGCCAAGAGUGAAAGAAUAAGGAAUGGACUCUAGAGGCCCUUAGAUUGGAGAGACCUUAAGGAUCUAGGAAACGUGAAGUAUCGUGGAAUCAAAGUUAAGCCGAAAAGCAUGUGAUGGGUUAAGCUUGGGAUGUCUCUAAUUGAUAGAACUAGUUAAUUUCGUUCGUGCUUUCUUCUCGUGUUUGUGUCGGGCGGCCCGAAACACAUAAUGCUUGCGGGGCAAGAACGAAUGCAUAAGUGCUAUUCGCCAAAAUGGGUAUGCGUCAAGUAAUGUCGUACAGUGCUAAUGUGUAUUGGCUUCGUUUAUAUCUCUGCAACACAACNNNNNNNNNNNNNNNNNNNNNNNNNNNNNNNNNNNNNNNNNNNNNNNNNNNNNNNNNNNNNNNNNNNNNNNNNNNNNNNNNNNNNNNNNNNNNNNNNNNNGCGGUCGGCCGGAGGAACCGUUCCGAGAGGUCGGAGGUGCGGCGCGGUCGGGCUGAAUCGGUGCGCAGCGUGAGAUCCUCCCCAACGCCCUUCGGGUUCGGCUUCCCGGCGACGCAGCGGAGCGGAGGAGGUCGGGUACGUGCGCGAGAGGCGAGGAAGGCGAUUGCCACGGGUGGGCGCGCGCGUUGAAGCGGCCCUUCGGCUCCGCACGUGUCUGGCCCAGGAGGUCAGCGGCGCGGCGCGCGCAGGAUGCGGGGACGCGCCGCGGCGUAGUUGCCGGAUGUCGCUGGGCGAUUGGGGCGCACGGUCCGAAUAAGCGCUGUGACGCAGGUUCGAGUGGCUCGCUGGUUACCAGGUAGCAGCAGGACGGGUACGGCGGGUUGGUGCCGGGCGCAGGCGAGGAGCGGAGUAUGGCUCGCGAGUAUGAUGCUCAAAGGUGAAAACUUCCUUCGCAUUUGCCAAGUCGGAGGAGAGGGUGGCCGGAGAGGCAAGAGAGAGUCAGGGGCUUUCGCGUCGAGCGCACCGGCGGCGGCUGCUCACGGGUUGAGGCAUGGACGGUGCUGGCGCUAGGUUAUUAAUGUAAAGUGGGAGUCCAAAGUAUAGGAAACCUAUUUGCCAUUUUUUCAAGUGUCUUGCGAGAACCCCUCAAAGUUCUAUAUUUACAGUCCACCCCCUCCUGAUGUGUUAUCGGUUAGUCAUCACGUCGAAUCGCGCAAGACCACGCAAUAAAUAUUAGACCUUUUCCGAAGAUUCGAUUUUCCAACUUGGAUGUACUACAUUUCACAAUUUUCCGAAGAUCCGUCAGUGGUACUUUGAUCCGGACUAGCUUGCGGGUUCAAGUUAACGUGGUCGAACUCUGAUUUUUUCAUCAAUUUGUCAGGGAUGUCGCGACCGGACCAUCCGCUCUUAAUUAAUUCAUUAUUCACGAUUACUAAUGUGUAAUACCAUAUAACUGCGCAGGAUAUUGAUUCCUACCAUGUAGGACCCGAUACAUUUUAACGUACUCAGGUCCAAGACGGGCGCGACAGAAGCUUGAAUGCACGAAAGACAAGAGCGAAAACUCUCUUUUCGUAAACUCCUUUUUCUCAAAAAUCGUGCAUCAGAUCUGAAAAUCUCGUCGUGCCAUUGGUUCCAAACUGCACGACGAACGAGUAUUGGACCUAUGAACGAUUCCGAUACGGCGAACUCUACUCCGUGCUUGUCGGAAACGGAUUUCUAGCACUUAAGUGAAAACUAUAAUCGCGUCCAAUUCUCCAUUUUAGCUUCAUUUUUCCUGAAUUGACGAUGCUUAUGUAAUUAUUAACUACUUAUUUUUCAACAGAGAGUUUGUUCACUGUAAAAAUCUCAUUCUUUAUUACUAAAUACCUCGACAUAAAGCUCCAAUCCGUCUUCGUCUCUCAGAUCUCCCAAGAUUAUUCCUUCUGAUCUACCGGUUGUACUCAACGCUUUAGCUUUGGACCUGUCGUUUUUCACGAACACCGCGCUUAGGACACAAGCACCCAUUUAAAAUAUCUCUGAAGAAAAUACUUGUUAAUAUAAAUAUUCCAUUAAAAAUUAAGAAUCAUUAUAUUUUUUUUUAAUACAAAAAAUCCAUUGAUUUUAUAAGAACCUUAAGAGAUAUUCUAUAGAAACAUGAACUAAUCAUCAACAAAUCAGGCAAACAAUCUUUUCAGGAAAUUGAAAACUUAGGUUUGAAUAUGAACCUAAUAUUUGUUCCAAAACAAGAAAUACUAUGAGAAAUAUGAACAACCGUUCAAUACAAUUAUCGAGCUAACAUGAUCUUUCAGCAAGAUCUCUAAAUCAAGAUUAAAAAUCUGACGAACCAUUUCGGAAGUAUAUAUACAAAUCACAAAUCCGAAAUCAUACUCAAAUUCGGUGUUAAAUAUGAGAAUUGAGAGGAAAUGCUUUUGAGCAAGAAAGGCAAGAGAAAAACAGGAAAUUGGAUGCUAACACGAGCAAAACCCUUUUGGUCGGCGAGGACCGCUUCUCGCCUGGACGGUCCAAGCCUUAAUUUUUAAAAUUUUUAAAUGAGCUUCAAUUCCAGAAUAUUGAGACUGUAAGUAUGUCACAUUUCAACAUCAAAAUAACCAUUUCCAGCUCCAAACUUCAAUGAGGUUCAUAAAUAAAUUUUUGAAAAUCAUCUCAGGAUAUUUCAAUUUACAUAUUUGACCGAUAUAUCCAAUGAUAUGCUAGAUACAUAUAAAUAAAAUUCACUAUGCAAUCUAGAAUUUGUAUAUGUUGCAUCAUAUUUUUAAGAAAAUGAAUAAAAUUCUCCGUUGUGAAUAACUAUAUGUUCAAAUUGAUUUAUGCACAUAUUCGAGAAGAGUGCUUUUGAGCAUUUUUAUUUUACAGUCACUUAUUACCUACAAAAUGUUAUAGCUCUUUGAGCAUAUUAUUUUUACAUGUUUUUCAUUGGAAGUACUUUUUUGUCUUACAUAGAUACUUUAAUCAAUUGUAGAGAUAACAUGACGAGACGACCGGUGGUAGCUCUUUCUCUAUGGUGUAGUGUCCUCCAAGCGAUGAACUCUUUCACUUGAUUAAAUUUAUAGCUAAAUGGAAGAACUCCCCUAAUUAUGUGACUCAUCAAUAUGAUUUAUCGCAAUUUCAAAAAAACAGAAGAUUUUAUCAUCUAAACUAAUAGUCAAACAAACAUUGCAACAUUAGUUCAAGAUGAGGUGCUGAAUUUAUUAUUGCAUGUCUUUCAUGAUUAUCGUUCAAAAAUUAUGUCAUAGAGGUAACGCCUGACGUGACAUCAGAUUAAUAUGAUAAUUCAGCAACAAUCAUCUCCCAAUGCAUAUUAUUCCGAAAUGCAGCUCAAACACCGAAAUAUUGCAAUAAAAUGCACAGCACAUUACUAUGGUCAAUAAAAUAUUAGAUUGAGGUUCAUUACAAUUACUCUUUUAAUGAGAAACGCUUUUGAUCCGAAAGUUUGGUUAAAUAUCUGCAAGUUGAUUUUCAGUUGAAUGUAGUCAGUUGUAAAACGUUAUUCAACCAGUUCUCUUAAAGUGAUACCUUAGUUUUAAGAUGUUUGUCGAGAAUGUAAACCGUUUUAGAAAAUUAUUGCCUUUUGGCACGGUAAUGUAAGGGUAGUGGAGGAAUCCUGUCGUAGUAAGUUUCAUCAGAUUAAUAGCUAGAGAACUUCUGGCCGAAUUUACUCACUCUUUUGCAGUGGAAAUGGAAUCAAUUUUGUUCUUAUGUGCCAAGCGGACACAAUUCCCAAUGUUAAAACAAGUCAUAUUACUUUUCGAUAUCUGCGGACCGCACUAGCGCUCUAUACAUUAAUAAGAGAUGUUCCCAUAGUAUACCAAGCCAUACCGUUGUUCCUUUAACUACGAUAUCCUUUAAUUUUCAGAUUUAUUCCUUAGUUGCUGAUACAGCCACAAUCAACACUAAACAAUAUCUGGUUCUUUAUCGCAGUCAGUACCUAGGUACAAUCAUCUUCUGUAUUGUUUUCGACUUGCUUUGAUUCAAUCCGUCCUUUUUGCUUGUACCCAUGGUGUCAAAACUUUGCGUGGUCAAUCAAUUUCUUAAUAGUCCUUUGUACGUGGUCUGAGCAAUGACUCUGAUCUUUAUUGGUUAAUUGAAUCUAAGGAAUUAAUUAAGCUCCCUCUCUAUAUCUCAAAUCGCUGUUCUUUAAAUUUGCAAAAUCAGCGUCAUCCUUAUCUUUAGAGCCCAAAAACUAUGUCAUCAAUAUAUUUGACCCAAAUAAAUUAUUCGUUCAAGUGUUUUACAAAAUUCAUCUUGCUCCCCUCUGUUAUAGCCUUUUCAAAGAUAUUUUGUCAGCGUUCGUACCAUGUCGCGGAGAUUAUUUUAGUCCUAAAGUGCCUUUUUCAGUCGUAAAAACGUUUUGGAAAUUUGGUCUAUAAACGUUGAUUGUUCAACAUAAAUUCCUUCUUUAAAACAUUAGAAAACGCCUUUUGAGCAUCUUUGAAAGAGCGUGAUUUAAAUGCAAGACUUAUUGACAUAGUACGAAUAGAUUCAAGACGGGACCGAGCAAAGGUUCAUCGUAAGUCUAUUCCCCAUUUGUGAGUCCCCUGGCCACAAGUCCUCGCUUUGUUCGGUCAUAGUACUCUUAUUUUUUUAUUCUUAAAAAUCCAUUUGUACUAAUAAUUGUGUUGUUGAUAAGGACGUAGCACCAUUCAUAAUAUUCGACAAUAUUGACCAGUUCUGCUUGCAUGGCAUUAUCCAUUUCUCACAAAAGCUUCGUCGACAUUCUUUCGGCUCGAUCAAAGAACUAGUUGAAUUCAAUGUAAAUGACUUUUUCGCACACCAAUUAAGAUCCCCAUUUCAUUUUGAUAAAGGAUGAUCAUCUUGACUCUGUCAGGGUGAGUUAGGGAGAUAUGCUUAGGAUUCAGAAGGAUGUUUUGUGAUUCAGUAUGAUCAUUUAAUGCAUAUUUUCAAAGAUUCAUUGAAUUAUCAAGGUAGAACACAUCUUCACAGGAAUACAACGAGAAUUCAUGAUCAUUAUUAUUCAUCAAAGAUUAGAGAACAUUACAGAAGAACUUACGAAAGCUUUUAUCUACUUUUAUAUUGAUAGACUCUAUUACUUAUUGAUCGUAAAUGUAGCCGAUAAGCACGUUGUCAGUAGAAUAACAAGAUUGCCUUCGUCACUGCGGGAGUCAAUUUUCAAGAUUCACACUCCGAAGGAUAAAAAUUACUCUCUGAGGACAGAAAGAUUUAAGUUUGUUUACUCAAGCCAAGUUAUAGGCGAUUCAUUGCCGAGCACAUAUAUCCGAUAUAACUAAUGACUUAAUGUUGCGAGCCCAAAAAUGAUAGUCAAUUUUUUACUAUGAAGUAACACGAGCAUCUCCUGUACAACCCGUUCUUGCGUUCAACCACUCGUUUGUUGGUUAUAGGGGGCGAGAUUCAUGUUUUUACAUUGAAACCAGAAUCACAAUUUAGAAUUUAUAUUCCCCUAUGCUUCGAAUUCUGUACAAUUUUAUCAUUUUGGUCAGUCAUAAGGACGAAACAGAUUAUCCCAAAAAGAAUAAAAGUAUAGCUUUUUUUGUAAGAAGGCACUCAUACAAAGCGAUAAUAUCAUCACAAUAAGCAGAUAUAAUAUAUUACCAAACUAUUGAUCUUAGAUGUCAUCAGUAAUGUGAGUACUUAAGGUUAUUUCCCUAAGUGGUUCAAGGUCUUAUGUGUGCUUAGUUUUGUUUCCCAUUGGUCCCAACACAAGUUUUUUAAAAUCAUCUUAGGUACUUAUACUCUUUUGUAUCUUGGGCUCCUUAAAGUUUAUUUGACCUAGUCGUCUGCAUAUAAGUUCAUUUCUUAUCGCGUAGUUAUAAUUUAUUGGACAACUCUGAAUCAUAAAAAUUUUCUGAGAAUCUAAUGCUCUUUAUACGUAUUGUUCAUCAGAGUUAAAUGGAUUCUUAUCAGAAAUCCAAAACAUCAUUACACGUUGGUUAUCUACGAGAUUAGUUGAGCCCUCAACAUAAAAGACAUCUUUCAACGUGAGGCCCUUGAGAUGCACGUUACUUUUCCAACAUGGUUUGCGAUCGACGUUCCCCAAAACAACAGUCCUCCGGAGAUUUUGUUCCAAAGAAGUAACCUUUUUAUUCCUGUCAUGUGUGACGGGAACAAACAUCUCAUAUACCUGGUGCAUUAUUAUAAGAUUAGCGAAUGUGAUGUAUGCAUGGGUUUACUUUUGCACCAACUUACGUGUCGUGUGUCAGUUCGUUGCUUUGGUUAUGCUGAUUGUCGACGUUUGGGAAUUGACUUCUUCUAUUCCUCUUCUUUGUUUCAAUUGCGGUUUUUUUGUAUACCAACCUUCUUUGGCAGUUGAUUUUUAGAUAUGAUAUUCUUCAUGAAUAUGUUUUUGAUUCAAGGGUGUAUUGCGCUCUCUCCCCUUUUUUGCGAUUUUUUAUUGCUAAAGCCAAAUAUGAAAUUUAUUUAGGUUGAUUGUUUUGAGAGGAACGAAUACCAUGAGCUUAAGAACAGCAUAAUGAGUCCCAUCUUUCUUUGCUGUUUGUCACUAGGUCCUUCUACCCAUCCAAUUUUUGUUUGACAGGGCAUCUUGUCGAGUAGUUUAUCUUGAUCCGACGAUAUUGGUUUCAAAUCUGAUUAUUGUAAUAUCGUGUGUUGAAUUCAUAUUUGUUCUCUUUCUGGAUUCUGGUGAAAAGUGAUGUUCUCCAUUGAGUCUCGUUUCCUUUUCUAGAGUAAGACACUUCUGUCAUAGAUUAUAGCUUUGUCAAUACAUCUAUUCUGUUCUAAUCCUUUGUUAGAGCGCAUUUUGAAUUUUGUUCAAUCUUAGGCUUCCCCGUGUUUUGUAUGUGUUACAUUUCUUGAUUCAAAUAACAUUGUAUAUUUGUGACAUUUCUCUUCAUCCGUUCUUCAUCUGAUGAUUUCUCGAGAUGACUUCUCUUUUAGAUUCAUCGAGACCGACGGCAGAUUAACACUGAGUUUGAAUCCUGUUGCAUUAGUGUCGUGCUUUACUCCUCUUCACAUCGAAGUGAUCGUCAAUGAGAUGUCGUUCCGUAUAGUUGAUCGCUUCUUUCUUCAACACUUUUUUUAGGACAGUCAGGAUCGAUAGGCCAAUAUGCUAAAUUGUAGCAUUAAUUUGACCUUCCGUUCUUCUUUUGGAGUCUGUUGAGUUAUAGAUUUUCCUGUAUUUUGAUGGGAGACGAGCGAACCCUUUAUAUUUUUGUCUUGAAGAAGUAGGAUUGCGAGCAUUUUUUCUAGUUGAUGAAACUCUUGUUAGACGUCGUAGUUGCUUUUCCAUAUCUCCAGGCUUUUGCUCCGACUUGGAAUCUGAUGAGUUAAAUGACAUUCCUUUUGUUAUUUUAGCCUCCCUGAGUUUUAGAAAACUUGGAAGAACGGAAUUAGAGAAUGUCGUUCAUAGUUUGAAGGCACCUUUAAUUUAUUAUACCUUGAGUUCAUCUAGGAUGUGUGACCGUUCAUCUGCCCUUAUACGGAAUUCGGGAGGUUAUCAAAUUUUAUCGAACAUUUUGGAAUUCGGGAAUUUCCGCCACUUAGACAGAGUGUUUACAAUGUCUGCAACGUGUAUUACUCGUAAAAUAUGUUUUAUAUACGAUGAUAUAUUACUAGAAGCAUUUGCAUUUUGAAUCUUAAAGCUUUACAUCAGUGUGUACUGAAGUUCCAAAUUUCUUUGGCAAUUUCGCACGCCAACAGCGAGAAAUUCUGUUAUUUAAAGCAUUGAAUAAGUCAUUGAUACUCUUUUUCAUUGAACGAAGAUAUUCAUUUCCUUUUCCUUUUAUCUAGGUUCGGAACGGUAACAUGCCGACAAUUGUUAGGAUGUUUCUCAUUCAAUGUGCUGCCACUCGCUCUUCUAUACAAAGAUCCUCAUACGGCUUUACAAUAAGGUAGUAGGUGCCAUUCGAAGAGCGGGGUCGAUUGAUUUACCCUCACCAUUACACCUAUACCGUCUUGAUUACAUUGUUCAGAUCGGUUGGACCAGCUAACCAUUAAUCCCAAGUGACUGUUAGAUACGCAACAAUUCACUUCAUAUAGUUACAGAAACCGCCUCGGUUCGAUUAUGAUCUGGCCACCUGUGGCCUACCUUUCGAAAUGACUCGGCACACCGCUCACGCGCAUUUCACUGACUCUUGCCACAUGCCUUCGCCACGGGCAGGAUGCCUGGCCUUUAUGCCACAAUCCCCUCGCACUGCACAAUUUGAGCAUUCUAUCGAACUCGUGACCUUCUUUGAUUACACUUGAAGAUCAUGAUCCCGAAUCUAGAAAGGUAUACGUAACUAGAGGGGGUGAUAGUGUUUAUCGGCAAACUCAAAAAUCUGAGCAAUAAACAAGUGAGCGGAAAAUAAAACAGCACACCGAGAAUUUAACGUGGGAAAACUCCAAUUCGGAGUGAAAAACCCACGGGACCGAUCACGCGAAGAAAAUCCACUAGGAAAACUUGAGUACAAGUGAUUUUGAUAAAAAUACACGACUCAAUUUAUCGAUUUCUUGUUGAUGGUGAUCUUCGCCGGUCCUCGAUCGAUAGGAAUCCACCAAUCGACCUUGCUGCACCUCCUCGUAGCGUCAACGCCUCAAUUCCUCGAAGCGUCCACCGAAUCCUCGGCUUCACGCGAGAUCCACACGUCGAACCUCCUUCCGGAGCUUGUAGAAUCGAAGAUUUGUGAUGAUUUAACCUUUGAAUACCAUAAGCUAUGAGGGUUCACCUUUAAUCAAAAAUCUACUUGAUUCUCGUAUGAGUUCUCGAGUAAAAACGAAGAAUCAAGCCGAUUGUUGAUUGUUAGAAACUCGUUAUGUGAAUCGAAGCAUUGAAACGGAAAAAAAUAAGUUUCUAGGGUUUAGAAUCUGUAAAUAUUCAAAGCCUUAAACUUUUAGAUGACCCACAUAGCUUAUUUAUAUGUUUAGAAGACUUAGAAGUAGACUAGGAUUGCAAAAAGUCCUUUUUAAAAACCUGUGUCGUCCUCAGAGACCGGUCUUCUCGAGGAGACCGGUCUGUGAGAGACCGGUCUCUCAAGUGAGGAACCGGUCCCUCAUUGCGUGACCAAAAUCACAACGUUCGAGAACCGGUCUCUCAAGCUUGAGACCGGUCCCUUGCUGUGCGACAGAAAUACCAAGGUUCAGGAACCGGUCUCUCACCACAGGGGACCGGUUGCAUCAAGGUUCACGCAGUGAGGACCUUAGGGGAACCGGUCUCUUGACCUCAGGGACCGGUCCCUGAACACAGAAAAGUUCAGUAAAGUAUUUUUAAAGCAAUCUAAGCCUUCUGAACUUAUUCUAAUCAAAUAACUUCAUCACAAAUGAUCUUUUCUUCAUACCUUAGGUGCUAAACUUUACGAGUGAGUCUUUUUCCUUCAAUUUAGAUCUUUUCUUCAAUCUUCUGCAAUCAACUUUUCAAGACUCCAUUCAACAUUACGAAAUCCGCCAACCUAUAAAAUCCUUAACAAGGGACCGAUCCCCGAGAGCAAAAUUUUCGGGAUUUCUCCAGAAUUGCAGUUUUACUCUCUCGGGUCCCUUUACACUUCAUAUAUAGGCUUCAAUGCACUUUUAGCCUAUAGUAACUCAUUCCUUUUCGCGUUCCGCUCAUUUCGACCGAACUCGGCACGACUUACGGGGAAGUGGUAUGUUACACUCAGCUUCCUCCCGCUAAGACCGUCCUCGGGUUUACUCCAACCCGUAAUGCAAAACUCUGGAGAGCAUCGCCCGAGGGGGAGCGACCGCCCUCGAGCACGGAGCUCAUAGCAAGUAUGAUUGAAUCCUUAACUCUAAGGAUUAUAAGUUCAAUCAUGUCAUUACACUAACUCUAGUGUUCUUUUCAUCACUUUAUGUUGCUAACUCUAGCAAUCUUGGUUCUUUACAUUUCUUUACUUUUGGCUAUCUCUAGCAAUCAUGUUCUUUACUCUUUGCAUGUUCUUUAUGCCCCACUUUACAUUAACUUUAGUCAUUGCCAUUACUCUUUACAUCACAUUGAUUCUUUGCCUCACACUAACUCUAGUGUCACUUUACUUUAUAUUAUCGAAUGCCACUCGAUCUAUGUCUCAUUGUGUCACUCUGUUCUUUUGCCUCACUUUGGUGCUCACAUUUUAUCUCAUGCAUACAUAUAGGGCGAAACAUUCAUAGGAGUUCUUGACCAUCUCAUUAGGCAAAUUGUACUCACAAUAUGCAACAUCACAUUACUCUCAUCAUAUUUACCUUACAAUGCAUGCAACAAUGUAUAUAACAUAUGCUCAAUUGAAUGACACAUUAGGCAUAGAAGGAAGUUCAACGAGUUUGGAUAGCACCACCCACCUCGUAGGUUCUCAAAGGUGCUACGGUGAUUUUCUUGGGAUUUUUUAGCUUCUUAGUUCGUCACCUGCGGUAAAACGAAGCCUUAUUAGGCCAUUUUACUCAUAUCUUUACAUUAGUUUUUCAUAACGUUAAUCCGAGCGCACCAACGCGUCGGAAAUACCCCCAAUUAGGUUUCUAGAGGGUCAAUUUUACUUUGAAUCCCUUACAAGCAAAAGCUCCAAUUUGGGUGCCCUAGCUCUAUAGC